GGUUUCUUCCCCCUCUUCGCACCCUUAACCCUUCUCCACUGGCUGCGGCUCUGGGACUUACACACGUUCGAUUCUGUCCUUAGGCAGCUCAGACGCGAGGCCCCCAGCAAGCAGGAAAACUCCAUUUCCCAGAGGUCUCUGCAGCCUCCAGGGUCAGCCCACAGUGAGGCUCCACCGCGGUCACUAUGGAAACGAAGACAAGCGGGCUCCGAAGACAAGAGCCUUCAGGGGAUUGGUGGAGAGAGAGAGGCGCGGCCGGAACAGGCGGGACUAAGACGGCCUGUUGAUACGUCACGUCCGCAUCCUCGCGGGGCUCUACCUGUCGUACGGGGCGCGCGUUCGGAACCGUCUCGACUCCGCUCCGAGUUCGGCCUCCUCCCCCUCCGCCGCCGCCGCUGCCAGGGCCCGAGCUCCGCUCCCCUUGGAAGGCAGCUCUGCCUUCUGACAACCUGAUCCUUAAUGAAAAGGAAAGCAUGGCCCCUGUGCUCCUGACUGCCAGGCACCCCCAGGUGAGUGGCAGUGUGCCCUUCCAGAAAUGCCAAAUCACUGCUUCAUACAUUGUCUCCCUAUUUCCAUUUUCUUUAAGAUGAUUUUUAUUGUUUCUGUGAUUUUUGUCUUUGGCCCUCUCUAUUUGGAGUGUAUCUUUUAUCCAUAUUUCUUUCAUUAGUUACAAUUUUUGUUGUGUUUUGGUCUCUAAAAGUUCACGUUUAAGAUUUGUUUGAGUUGUUUCCUAACAAGUGAACAGUUUGUGUAUGAGUACCGUGACAGCCGGAGAAGUUGGUGUGCUGGCAAAAAGUCCCUUGCGGAAGUCCCCUUGAGUCUAUUAAAUCUUUUUUUCCCCAAUAUUUUAUUUAAACGCACAAUCACCUCCUUUAACUCUCUUGUGCAUUUGUCAAGUCUGACAGAGAGCUUCAGAUUACCUACAGUUAGUGUCUUCUUAUCUUUCUUUCACCUCCGUUAUAUUUUCCUUAAAGACCUUAGCUGACAUAGUAAGUCAGUGCAUUACAGCGAUUCUCUAAAGCCAGCCUGACCAUGGAUGGCACUUCCCCAGUCAGUAGACUCAAGGAGCUCCCUCUUCAGAAAGCUUUUCCCAUUUGGGCCCCUUCCUACCUUUCCUGUCUUCUUCCCCUUUGGCCCUGCCCACCAGCCUGUGGUCCCACCGGCCUGUGUCCUGUCAUAUUGGCCUGCUGGAGUUCUUCCUCACACACAGUGACCCACCCCCAAUCUCUUUGACUUUUCACUCGCUGGUCUUCAUCCUCAGAAUAUUCUCCCGUGUUCCUCAAACUGUUGGAAUUCCUGGCUUCCUUCCAAAAUUAGCUGAAGCGCCACCUGUUACCAGAGGCCUCAGCUGGCUCUUCCUCCCUGCCCCCUCCUGAUCCACGGUUGUCCUUGAUCUGGUUCGUAUGCACCUUGUGUGUACAUUUAUGUCUGUGUGCUGCCUUCUCCGUUGGAG
rnacentral:lncRNA from 1 species